rnacentral:rRNA from 1 species
AUACGUAGGUAACAAACGUUGUCGGGAAUUAUUGGGCCUAAAGCAUCCGUAGCCUGUUCUAUAAGUUUCCGGUUAAAUCCACUAGCUCAACUAGUGGGCUGCCGAAAAUACUGUAGAACUAGGGAGUGGGAGAGGUAGACGGUAUUCGGUAGGAAGGGGUAAAAUCCUUUGAUCUAUUGAGGACCACCUGUGGCGAAGGCGGUCUACCAGAACACGUUCGACGGUGAGGGAUGAAAGCUGGGGGAGCAAACCGGAUUAGAAACCCGUGUAGUCC